rnacentral:tRNA from 1 species
GGGAAGGUGGCUCAGUGGUAGAGCACUUGCUUUGCAUGCAUGAGGCCUUGGGUUCUAUUCCUCAGUACCA